rnacentral:rRNA from 4 species
ACGGGUGCGUAACGCGUGGGAAUCUGCCCUUGGGUUCGGAAUAACGUCGGGAAACUGACGCUAAUACCGGAUGAUGACGUAAGUCCAAAGAUUUAUCGCCCAGGGAUGAGCCCGCGUAGGAUUAGCUAGUUGGUGAGGUAAAGGCUCACCAAGGCGACGAUCCUUAGCUGGUCUGAGAGGAUGAUCAGCCACACUGGGACUGAGACACGGCCCAGACUCCUACGGGAGGCAGCAGUAGGGAAUAUUGGACAAUGGGGGCAACCCUGAUCCAGCAAUGCCGCGUGAGUGAUGAAGGCCUUAGGGUUGUAAAGCUCUUUUACCCGGGAUGAUAAUGACAGUACCGGGAGAAUAAGCCCCGGCUAACUCCGUGCCAGCAGCCGCGGUAAUACGGAGGGGGCUAGCGUUGUUCGGAAUUACUGGGCGUAAAGCGCACGUAGGCGGCGAUUUAAGUCAGAGGUGAAAGCCCGGGGCUCAACCCCGGAACUGCCUUUGAGACUGGAUUGCUUGAACAUCGGAGAGGUGAGUGGAAUUCCGAGUGUAGAGGUGAAAUUCGUAGA